CUCAUUAACAAACAGCAAAACCCACGUGUCUCCUUGUGACAUUCAGCAUCAAGCUGGAAAAUGCUCAAAGCCAACUCUCCUAAAUCCAACAGGAUUGGAAACGUGAUAUCAAUUUCACGGAAAGUAAAUUGCAGUGGGUGAAAAAUACUUCAGAACAACAUAAUAAAAACAGUCCGAGGCCAUCACACACUAUGCUGUCAUUUGCUGUAGAUAAUCCUACUCAGAGUAUAUGUGGCCCUCUCAGACCCAGACACCCUUCAAAUCAAGAUGAAAUUCAUGAAGGCUAAAAAUGCAUGUCUCUGCCACAUCUAGCUUCCUGCAGCACAGUCAGCCAGCCCCCUCCUUCCUCCAGCUCUUAACUCUUGCCCACACUCAGUUUCACCAUAAAACCUUAGACUUCUAAUAAACGAUAAAAUUAA